rnacentral:rRNA from 1 species
AUGAAUGCCUUGUUCUGGAAUGUGAGAGGGAUUGCUGCCCCUGGUAGGAAAGCUUUGAUCCUGGAAACUAUGGCUAAAACCCAUGCUUCCAUUGUAGGUUUCCAAGAAACUAAGAAAGAGGAGUUUUCUGACUCCUUCCUAAAAUCUCUGGUAGGUAAUAGAAAUUUUUCCUGGCAUCACCUACCAGCCCAAGGCUCUGCUGGGGGCAUCCUGAUGGGAGUGGACCUAGACAUCUUAGAAGUUGUCUCCUGGUCCAACUUAGAAUCCUCUGUUAGUUGUGUUGUGAAGUUGAAAACUACUGAUAAUCCAUUUAGAGUCAUUACUGUCUAUGGUUCUCCUUAUGAAGAAGGGAAGGAAGAAUUUAUCUCUGAGCUUCAUACCUUGUUUUUAGAAGACCCCCUUCCCACCCUUAUAGGGGGAGAUUUUAACCUAGUGAGAUAUGCCAAGGAUAAAAGUAAUGGCAAUAUUAACCAUAGAUGGAGUGAUAAUUUCAAUGCCUGGGUUGAGAUCUGGAGCUUGCUUGAGAUUAAGCUGUCUAGCAGGAGAUUCACCUGGGCCAACAAUCAGGUGGACCUAAUCAUGUUUACCAUAGAUAGGCUCUUCUAUAAUACUGAGUUGGACAUGAUCUUCCCCAUGGCAUCCUGUGGGGCUUUGCCUAGGUGUGGGAGUGACCAUGUUCCUUUAAUUUGGGAGUCUGGUUUAAACCAAACCCCUAAGUGUAGUAGUUAUAAAAUGGAGAAAUGGUGGCUCCUAAGAGAAGACUUCUCCAAUCUAGUUACUAGAAUUUGGAAUAAGACCACUAAUGCCUCCUCCCAUAUUGAGAACUGGUAA